UACGGAGGAUGCAAGCGUUAUCCGGAUUUAUUGGGUUUAAAGGGUGUGUAGGCGGAAGAAUAAGUCAGUGGUGAAAUCCUGCAGCUCAACUGUAGAACUGCCAUUGAUACUGUUUUUCUUGAGUAUAGUUGAGGUAGGCGGAAUGUGUUGUGUAGCGGUGAAAUGCUUAGAUAUAACACAGAACACCGAUUGCGAAGGCAGCUUACUAAACUAUCACUGACGCUGAGGCACGAAAGCGUGGGGAGCGAACAGG
rnacentral:rRNA from 1 species